GAGACACGGCCCAGACUCCUACGGGAGGCAGCAGUGGGGAAUUUUGGACAAUGGGGGAAACCCUGAUCCAGCAAUGCCGCGUGAGUGAAGAAGGCCUUCGGGUUGUAAAGCUCUUUCAGUUGAGAAGAAAAGGUUGUGACUAAUAAUCAUAAUUUAUGACGGUAUCAACAGAAGAAGCACCGGCUAACUACGUGCCAGCAGCCGCGGUAAUACGUAGGGUGCAAGCGUUAAUCGGAAUUACUGGGCGUAAAGGGUGCGCAGGCGGUUAUGUAAGUCAGAUGUGAAAUCCCCGGGCUUAACCUGGGAAUGGC
rnacentral:rRNA from 1 species